rfam:Salmo salar isolate Sally breed double haploid chromosome ssa01, whole genome shotgun sequence.
UGCAUUCACUACUGUAAGUCGCUCUUAAUAAGAGCGUCUGCUAAAUGACUAAAA